rnacentral:tRNA from 2 species
AGCGGAAAAAGGGACUUGAACCCUCAACCU